CUGAACUGCUUCUUUUUAAUAUUCUUGACACUAAACAUGUUCAGCACUGUAGUCACAUAUUUCUUUAUACAAUGGCUCGUAGGGAUCUCCACAUCACUAACGGUUGUACAGUCUCCUGCCAAUCUAUUCCUGCUACCUAUAGAAGCACUGAACAUCACCUGUAGCCACAACGACAAAAGCUAUGACAAAAUCUACUGGUAUCGGCAGGUCAAGCAAGAUCUUGAGCUCCUUGGCUUUCUGUCCUUUACGAAUCCUCAAAUAGACCGAAAAGAUUUCAACAUUUCAGGAGAUGCAGAGAAGGAAGGCUUCCUCACAGCUUCUUCUGUGACAGCCGAACACAGUGCUUUGUACUUCUGCGCUGUCAGUGCAGCACAGUGCUGCAAAUACAUUGAACCACGUACUGAAAACCCCUCCUACAUCAUAUGA